rnacentral:rRNA from 1 species
UGGCGGCAGGCCUAACACAUGCAAGUCGAACGGUAGCACAGAGAGCUUGCUCUCGGGUGACGAGUGGCGGACGGGUGAGUAAUGUCUGGGAAACUGCCUGAUGGAGGGGGAUAACUACUGGAAACGGUAGCUAAUACCGCAUAACGUCGCAAGACCAAAGAGGGGGACCUUCGGGCCUCUUGCCAUCAGAUGUGCCCAGAUGGGAUUAGCUAGUAGGUGGGGUAACGGCUCACCUAGGCGACGAUCCCUAGCUGGUCUGAGAGGAUGACCAGCCACACUGGAACUGAGACACGGUCCAGACUCCUACGGGAGGCAGCAGUGGGGAAUAUUGCACAAUGGGCGCAAGCCUGAUGCAGCCAUGCCGCGUGUAUGAAGAAGGCCUUCGGGUUGUAAAGUACUUUCAGCGGGGAGGAAGGUGUUGUGGUUAAUAACCGCAGCAAUUGACGUUACCCGCAGAAGAAGCACCGGCUAACUCCGUGCCAGCAGCCGCGGUAAUACGGAGGGUGCAAGCGUUAAUCGGAAUUACUGGGCGUAAAGCGCACGCAGGCGGUCUGUCAAGUCGGAUGUGAAAUCCCCGGGCUCAACCUGGGAACUGCAUUCGAAACUGGCAGGCUGGAGUCUUGUAGAGGGGGGUAGAAUUCCAGGUGUAGCGGUGAAAUGCGUAGAGAUCUGGAGGAAUACCGGUGGCGAAGGCGGCCCCCUGGACAAAGACUGACGCUCAGGUGCGAA